AGCACUUAGGUGCUGACUGAAGUAAGUCCGACGUGUCUGUCUACUAAGACACUGCCUUUUUGGCUUUGGGAUUAC
rnacentral:ncRNA from 1 species